rnacentral:rRNA from 1 species
UAGGGAAUCUUCGGCAAUGGACGAAAGUCUGACCGAGCAACGCCGCGUGUGUGAUGAAGGCUUUCGGGUCGUAAAGCACUGUUGUAUGGGAAGAAAUGCUAGAAUAGGGAAUGAUUCUAGUUCGACGGUACCAUACCAGAAAGGGACGGCUAACUACGUGUCAG